AUUAACAAUCCUUAAAUACUGGAUAAAGGAAAUGAAUAUGUGGAUAGACAAUCCAAUACUGCAAUAAUGUUAAUAGGUCAUGGU
rnacentral:snoRNA from 1 species